AGGGGCAGCAUGACCUAGCAAUAGGUUGAUGGCGACCGGCGCACGGGUAAGUAACACGUAUCCAACCUACCGGUUAUUCCGGGAUAGCCUUUCGAAAGAAAGAUUAAUACCGGAUAGUAUAACGAGAAGGCAUCUUCUUGUUAUUAAAGAAUUUCGAUAACCGAUGGGGAUGCGUUCCAUUAGUUUGUUGGCGGGGUAACGGCCCACCAAGACAUCGAUGGAUAGGGGUUCUGAGAGGAAGGUCCCCCACAUUGGAACUGAGACACGGUCCAAACUCCUACGGGAGGCAGCAGUGAGGAAUAUUGGUCAAUGGACGAGAGUCUGAACCAGCCAAGUAGCGUGAAGGAUGACUGCCCUAUGGGUUGUAAACUUCUUUUAUAUGGGAAUAAAGUGAGCCACGUGUGGCUUUUUGUAUGUACCAUACGAAUAAGGAUCGGCUAACUCCGUGCCAGCAGCCGCGGUAAUACGGAGGAUCCGAGCGUUAUCCGGAUUUAUUGGGUUUAAAGGGAGCGUAGGCGGACUAUUAAGUCAGCUGUGAAAGUUUGCGGCUCAACCGUAAAAUUGCAGUUGAUACUGGUCGUCUUGAGUGCAGUAGAGGUAGGCGGAAUUCGUGGUGUAGCGGUGAAAUGCUUAGAUAUCACGAAGAACUCCGAUUGCGAAGGCAGCUUACUGGACUGUAACUGACGCUGAUGCUCGAAA
rnacentral:rRNA from 1 species